UACAGAGGUGGCAAGCGUUGUUCGGAAUUACUGGGCGUAAAGGGCGCGUAGGCGGCCUUCUAAGUCAGACGUGAAAUCCCCCGGCUUAACCUGGGAACUGCGUCUGAUACUGGGAGGCUCGAGUAUGGGAGAGGGAUGUAGAAUUCCAGGUGUAGCGGUGAAAUGCGUAGAGAUCGGAAGGAACGUCAAUGGCGAAGGCAGCCACCUGGCAUAAUACUGACGCUGAGGCACGAAAGCGUGGGGAGCGAACAGG
rnacentral:rRNA from 1 species